rnacentral:rRNA from 1 species
AUUGAACGCUGGCGGAAUGCUUUACACAUGCAAGUCGAACGGUAGAGGGGGCAACCCCUUGAGAGUGGCGAACGGGUGAGUAAUAUAUCGGAACGUGCCCAGUCGUGGGGAUAACGUAGCGAAAGUUACGCUAAUACCGCAUACGAUCUACGGAUGAAAGCGGGGGGACUCGCAAGAGCCUCGCGCGAUUGGAGCGGCCGAUAUCAGAUUAGGUAGUUGGUGGGGUAAAGGCUCACCAAGCCAACGAUCUGUAGCUGGUCUGAGAGGACGACCAGCCACACUGGAACUGAGACACGGUCCAGACUCCUACGGGAGGCAGCAGUGGGGAAUUUUGGACAAUGGACGCAAGUCUGAUCCAGCCAUUCCGCGUGCAGGAUGAAGGCCCUCGGGUUGUAAACUGCUUUUGUACGGAACGAAAAGGUUUCUCUUAAUACGAUGAGCUCAUGACGGUACCGUAAGAAUAAGCACCGGCUAACUACGUG